rnacentral:tRNA from 1 species
GCUGGAUUAGCUCAUUCGGUAGAGCGCUGAUUUUGUAAGUCAGGGGUGGCGGGAUCGUAGCCUGCAUCCAGCA